UACGUAGGGACCAAGCGUUGUUCGGAUUUACUGGGCGUAAAGGGCGCGUAGGCGGCGUGUUAAGUCAGCUGUGAAAUCUCCAAGCUUAACUUGGAACGGUCAGCUGAUACUGAUGUGCUAGAGUGCAGAAGGGGCAAUCGGAAUUCCUGGUGUAGCAGUGAAAUGCGUAGAUAUCAGGAGGAAUACCGAUGGCGAAGGCAGGUCUCUGGGCUGACACUGACGCUCAUGCACGAAAGCGUGGGGAGCAAACAGG
rnacentral:rRNA from 1 species